GGGCAUGUGACUCAGUGGUAGAGCACUUGCCUUACAUGCAAGAGACCAUGGGCUGUGUCCUCAGCACUACACAUGCACACCCA
rnacentral:tRNA from 1 species